GUUUUAGUCAAAACAUGAAGUCUGCAGUUGUGUUUAUCGCUGUGUUGCUGCUGCUAGUUUCUUUGGAAUGGUGCUCAUCGCCUGUACACGUAGAAGCUUGUUGUUGGGGCAAGAAGAAAACUAAAACCGGUAAAGACAAAGCCGUGGUUACCGGUAAUGCACAGUUAGAGAAAGAGACACCGGCCGAGAUUUCAAAAGGAGGAUCAAAAUGAGUACCUUAAUGCUGAAUGGUCUUGACCUGAUCUGCAGAAAUGAUUAUUGAAAACUAAAUUAUUAAUAAAUAUUCAUGCAUUUGA